rnacentral:piRNA from 1 species
UGGCCCCUGUUAACUUGAGUGUUGGU